GCUAGCGUUAAUGUAAUAGAGUAACUAGCUAGCCAUUGACAUUGAGUGUUGAAUGAUUACCAGUUAACGUUAGCUAGCCAUAGUUGUGCAAAGCUAACCUUAUCUCUGUCAGUCGUUUCUUCUCAUGAGAUCGUUAUUGGGCAGUUUGUAAGGGAUAUGUUGUUAAUUUCACCAGGGUUUUAAAAUAUACUUUCACCGGCAAACGUUAACUAGCCUAGGCUAAUAUGUCUGCCGCUGCAGCAAAGCAGAAAUGCUAGAAACUCAGCACUGCUCUCUUCCUGGGUAAUAUCAACAAUCUAGCUAGCACAGCUAGAAGUCAAAGUUGUAUAUACAAGCCAAGAGUUGCAUACUUCUGCAGACCCAGAAACAGAAGCAACUCUUCAAUUGUAGCUAGUUUAUGCUAUUAUUGUAAUACCAGGUCGAUAGCUUGUUACAUUGAGGUCAGUGGUCUGCAGAACAGUAUCACGAGUUGUUAUUUUGGUGCUGCUAUUAAUCUCUGGUGGACAUAUGAAACGGCGAGAAUCUGUCAACGCUCACGAUGUAUAAUUGUGUAAUUAUGAGCAGUAGUAGUUUGUGGUUUUCUUUCAUUAUUUGGACGAAUCAGGAUUUGGCAAAGGCGGUGCUUAAACUAGUGCGGUGGUUUCCAAGCCCUUGUGCAGACGAUAGACGGAAUCUUCAACUCAAAAUUACUUUAGUGUGGCCAGGGAGUUGACAUAUAACGCCUCCUUGCGGCCAUGUUGUAAAGCCACACAAUCAAUUAUUUCGACCACAUCUGAGAGGCUACCCCAAGCUGCGUGCUAACGGUUCCUAAAACUAGUUGAUUCAUCACCACAGUCCAUUUCUGUGCUGUAUUUGGUUGCUCUAACAAGGUAGAAAAGACAACGGGAAAAAACGUGAUAAGACUCAAGAACUGUCAGAAAAGCGAAGAAACCUUUUUGCCCGUCAAGACCUGAACCAACUGGUUCACCAGCUGAUCUCUAUCAAGACACCCAUGUUGACUGGAUUCAUCUACGAAGAUGAGCAAUGCUGCAGCAUCAGUUUCUCCUUUACUAAUUUGUCCUUUUCCAGAUAUGAAAGGAGACAUCCCUCAGUUACAGUGCAUUUGGAAAGUAUUCAGACCCCAUUACUUUUUCCACAUUUUGUUACAUUACAGCCUUAUUCUAACAUGGAUUUAAAAACAUAAAUCCUCAUCAAUACCCCAUAAUGACAAAGUGAAACAGGUUUAGAAAGCUUUACAAAUUGUAUAAAAAAAAUAUAAUUAUUCAGAGCCUUUGCUAUGAGACUUGAAAUUGAGCUCAGGUGCAUCCUGUUGCCAUUGAUCAUCCUUGAGUUGUUUCUGCAACUUGAUUCGAGUCUACCUGUGGUAAAUUAGAUUGAUUGAGCAUUAUUUGGAAAGGCGCACACCUGUCUAUAUAAGGUCUCACAGUUGACAGUGCAUGUCAGAGCAAAAACCAAGCCAUGAGGUCGAAGGAAUUGUCUGUAGAGCUCCGAGACAGGAUUGUGUAGAGGCACAGUGGCCUCCAUUAUUCUUAAAUGGAAGAGCUGGGCACCCUGGCCAAACUGGGCAAUCGGGGAAGAAGGGCCUUGGUCAGGGAGGUGACCCAAGAACCCGAUGGUCACUCUGACAGAGCUCCAGAAUCCUCUGUGGAGAUGGGAGAAUCUUCUAGUAGGACAAUCAUCUUUGCAGCACUCCACCAAUCAGGCCUUUAUGUUAGAGUGGCCAGACUGAAUCCACUCCUGAGUAAAAGGCACAUGAUAGCCUGCUUGGUUUUGCCAAAAAAGCACUUAAAGGAUUGACCAUGAGAAACAAAAUGCUCUUGUCUGAUCAAACCAAGAAGUAACUCUUUGGCCUGAAUGCCAAGCAUCACAUCUGGAGUAAACAUGACACCAUCUCUACGAUGAGGCAUGGUGGUGACAGCAUCAUGCUGUGGGGCUGUUUUUCAGCGACAGGGACUGGGAGACUAGUCAGGAUUGAGGGAAAGAUCAAUGGAGCAAAGUACAGAGCGAUCCUUGAUGAGAACCUGCUCCAGAGCACUCAGGACCUCAGGCUGGGGUGAUUGUUCACCUUCCAACAGGACAACGACCCUAAGCACACAGCCAGGACAACGACCCUAAGCACACAGCCAGGACAAUGACCCUAAGCACACAGCCAGGACAACACAGUAGUGGCUUCGGGACAAGUCUCUGAUUGUCUUUGUGGCCCAGCCAGAGCUCAGACUUGAACCCAAUCUCAGGGAAGCACAAAUACAUGCUCGUCAUCCUCACCAGGGUCUUGACCUGACUGCAGUUUGGCGUCAUAACUGACUUCAUUGGGCAAAUGCUCACCUUCGAUGGCCACUGGCACACUGGAGAAGUGUGCUCUUCAUGGAUGAAUCCCGGUUUCAACCAUAACGGGCAGACUGCAUGUAUGGCGUCGUGUGGGCUAGCGGUUUUCUGAUGUCACCAUGAUGCCCUAUGGUGGGGUUAUGGCAUAAACUACAGACAACGAACACACUUGUAUUUUAUCAAUGGGAAUUUGAAGGCACAGAGAUACCUUUACGAGAUCCUGAGGCCCAUUGUCGUGCCAUCUGCUGCCAUCACCUCAUGUUUCAGCAUGAUAAUGCAUGGCCCCAUGUCGCAAGGAUCUGUACACAAUUCCUGGAAGCUGAAAAGGUCCCAGUUCUUCCAUGACCUGCAUACUCACCAGACAUGUCACCCAUUAAGCAAGUGUGGGAUGCUCUGGAUCGACAUGUACGACAACGUGUUCCAGUUCCCGCCAAUAUCCAGCAUCUUUGCACAGCAAUUGAAGAGUGAGACAACAUUCCACAAUCAACAGCUUGAUCAACUCUAUGCGAGGCAAAUGGUCACACCAGAUACAUGACUGGUUUUCUUGUCCACACCCAUACAUAACUUUUGUUUUUAAGGUAUCUGUGACCAACAUCUGCAUAUCUGUAUUCCCAGUCAUGUGAAAUCCAUAGAUUAGGGCCUAAUGAAUUUAUUUAAAUUGACUGAUUUCCUUAUAUGAACUGUAACUCAGUAAAAUCUUUGAAAUUGUUGCAUUCAUUUUUGUAAAGUGUAAAUGCAAUUGUGUUUUAAAAAGUUUUUCCCACGA